rnacentral:rRNA from 1 species
UAGGGAAUCUUCCACAAUGGGCGGAAAGACCUGAUGGAGCAACGCCGCGUGUGUGAUGAAGGGUUUCGGCUCGUAAAACACUGUUGUAAGAGAAGAAUGACAUUGAGAGUAACUGUUCAAUGUGUGACGGUAUCUUACCAGAAAGGAACGGCUAAAUACGCGCCAG